GAUGAACGCUGGCGGCGUGCCUAAUACAUGCAAGUCGAGCGAAGCGGGGACGGGUGAGUAACACGUGGAUAACCUCCUAUAAGACUGGGAUAACUUCGGGAAACAGGAGCUAAACCGGAUAUUUAUAGUUGGAUUCCCGCUGCAUUAGCUAGUUGGUAAGGUAAAGGCUUACCAAGGCAACGAUGCAUAGCCGACCUGGGAGGGUGAUCGGCCACACGGGAACUGAGACACGGUCCAGACUCCUACGGGAGGCAGCAGUAGGGAAUCUUCGGCAAUGGGCGAAAGCCUGACGGGGCAACGCCGCGUGAGUGAUGAAGGUCUUCGGAUCGUAAAACUCUGUUAUUAGGGAAGCGGUACCUAAUCAGAAAGCCACGGCUAACUACGUGCCAGCAGCCGCGGUAAUUC
rnacentral:rRNA from 1 species